rnacentral:rRNA from 1 species
UACGAAGGGGGCUAGCGUUGCUCGGAAUCACUGGGCGUAAAGGGCGCGUAGGCGGCGUUUUAAGUCGGGGGUGAAAGCCUGUGGCUCAACCACAGAAUGGCCUUCGAUACUGGGACGCUUGAGUAUGGUAGAGGUUGGUGGAACUGCGAGUGUAGAGGUGAAAUUCGUAGAUAUUCGCAAGAACACCAGUGGCGAAGGCGGCUCACUGGCCCGAUACUGACGCUGAGGCACGAAAGCGUGGGGAGCAAACAGG